UACGGAGGGGGCGAGCGUUAUUCGGAAUCAUUGGGCGUAAAGGGCGCGUAGGCGGCUUCAUAAGUCUUUGGGUGAAAGCCCUCGGCUCAACCGAGGAAUUGCCUUGGAUACUGUGGAGCUCGAGGCUGGAAGAGGGCAGUGGAAUUCCCGGUGUAGCGGUGAAAUGCGCGGAUAUCAGGAGGAACACCAAUGGCGAAGGCAGCA
rnacentral:rRNA from 1 species